rnacentral:rRNA from 1 species
UACAGAGGUCUCAAGCGUUGUUCGGAUUCAUUGGGGCGUAAAGGGUGCGUAGGUGGCGCGCUAAGUCAGGUGUGAAAUCUCGGGGCUUAACUCCGAAACUGCAUUUGAUACUGGCGUGCUUGAGGACUGGAGAGGAGACUGGAAUUCAUGGUGUAGCAGUAGAAAUGCGUAGAGAUCAUGAGGAAGACCAGUGGCGAAGGCGGGUCUCUGGACAGUUCCUGACGCUGAGGCACGAAGGCCAGGGGAGCGAAACGGG